UCGGUAACCCGGGCAACGCGGGCCCCGACCAGUGCAACCUGGAGCCUCACCUCUGACCUUAGGGUCUCCGCCACGCCCCUGGGCGGUCCUCCUGGCCGCCGGGUGACCCUGCUGCUCACCUUCGGAGCUCCCGCCUCCUUCACCCCUACCCACUCUCCAGGAGCGUGGCUCCGGGGCGGAGGCGGCCCCAGGCCUCGAGCCCCUCGGCGCAACCCAGCCGGCCGUCCCUGUGGGGAGCGGGGCACCUUCCCGCGCGCCGCCCCUCAGUGGCCCGCGGUCCCCGGCGCCGCCUCCCCAGGAGCGGGAGGCCGAGCGCCUUCCGAGGCGGCGCGCACCAGCGCGAGGGCUGCCCGCCAGCGAGGCUGAGCCGCCGCGUGUUAUUUCAUUCGUGAUUUUUGCAGAGGCUGAAAUUUGGGUUGCGUCAAACUCGGAAUCUCCGCGAAGAGGACCUUUUUGGGUUGUUUUUCUGGCUUGUUUUAUUUUGUUUCCCAAAAUGGCAGCCUCCAGCCGCGCACAAGUGCUAGAUCUGUACCGGGCGAUGCUGAGAGAGAGCAAGCGUUUCAGCGCCUACAACUACAGAACGUAUGCUAUCAGGAGGAUAAGAGACGCCUUCAGAGAAAAUAAAAAUGUAAAGGAUCCGGUAGAAAUUCAAACCCUAGUGAAUAAAGCCAGAAGAGACCUUGGGAUAAUCCGCCGACAGCGGCUUGGAAAUCCCGUUCUGCUCUCCCGUGCCUUCGGGGCCAUCUUCUGCAGCAUUUCCUGGUCGUUCCUUUCGAGUGCUCUUGCGGUGUCAGCCACCCCCAGAAGCAGGAGUCUAUGAGCAGCUGGGCUGGAUCAGUUCUUUCCCCUGGCUCCCCGAUUCCCCUCAGGCACACCGCUGUUUUCCCUCCACCAUCCUGGGCUCGGGUCUGGCUCUUGGAGCUGCAGUUCCAAAGGUCCAUAUUAGCCACCUCUACUCAACGGACAAGCUGGUCAUCGAGAACCAAGAGAAGCCCAGGACUUAGGAGCUGGGUCCAGGCACCAGUGAAGGAUGAAGGCUUCCUGUGCGGGCCAGGGGCUCUCAGCCCGCUUGCGCUGCAGGAGCUGAUAAACUGAGUCAUGUUUGCAUCUUGUUUCAGCCUUGGGGUGGAAGGACGGCUGCCCUCCUUCAGUUCAGGUGUCAGGGCGGAGCCAGAGACAGCUUGGGGACACUGUGUGUUGCUGUGUCCCCUCUCGGCCCCAGCGCACCCUGUUGCUGCUCCACAUGUGUUCACUGCACAUGCAGACUGGUUCUCCAUCCUUGGCAAUAAACAGUUGUCUCCCUCUUUCCACACCAAUAAACCCAUUGCGGUA